ACUGGUAGUCUACAGGUGAGAACAGACUGGUAGUCUACAGGUCUACAGGGGAGAACAGACGGGUAGUCUACAGGUGAGAACAGACUGGUAGUCUACAGGUGAGAACAGACUGGUAGUCUACAGGUAAGAACAGACUGGUAGUCUACAGGUGAGAACAGACUGGUAGUCUACAGGUGAGAACAGACAGGUAGUCUACAGGUGAGAACAGACGGGUAGUCUACAGGUGAGAACAGACUGGUAGUCUACAGGUGAGAACAGACUGGUAGUCUACAGGUGAGAACAGACUGGUAUUCUACAGGUGAGAACAGACAGGUAGUCUACAGGUGAGAACAGACGGGUAGUCUACAGGUGAGAACAGACGGGUAGUCUACAGGUGAGAACAGACGGGUAGUCUACAGGUGAGAACAGACGGGUAGUCUACAGGUGAGAACAGACGGGUAGUCUACAGGUGAGAACAGACGGGUAGUCUACAGGUGAGAACAGACGGGUAGUCUACAGGUGAGAACAGACGGGUAGUCUACAGGUGAGAACAGACGGGUAGUCUACAGGUGAGAACAGACGGGUAGUCUACAGGUGAGAACAGACGGGUAGUCUACAGGUGAGAACAGACGGGUAGUCUACAGGUGAGAACAGACGGGUAGUCUACAGGUGAGAACAGACGGGUAGUCUACAGGUGAGAACAGACGGGUAGUCUACAGGUGAGAACAGACGGGUAGUCUACAGGUGAGAACAGACGGGUAGUCUACAGGUGAGAACAGACGGGUAGUCUACAGGUGAGAACAGACUGGUAGUCUACAGGUGAGAACAGAC